CUACAAUGGUUGGUGUUUAUUCGGCGUCUGCACCUGGCAGCUUGCGAAUUGAUGGCUCUGAAUGGCUGCCAGCUCACUUGAUGGUCGGGCACUUCAGCUUUCCUUGAGUACAUCCAUUUGGGGCUAUUUUUGUAUUUCUAUUCAUCUCCGAUCAAAUGUUCAAAUACACAUUUCUGUCAGUCACAAGCAUGAGGGUGAUGCUGCAGGAUGCUUUGAUGCACAUUGGGAAAACGGCUUAAAUGAUCCUGCAACUGUGCAUGCUGGCUCACGGUCUCAUGUGACUCUUGACAGUGGUCAUCAAUGUCAUCAGUAACACCUGUGCUUUUC
ensembl:lncRNA